rnacentral:piRNA from 1 species
UCCCUAGCCUUGAGCUCCAGGUGGUCCCAGC